UUAAGACCUGGAAAAGCUAGAAACAGCAGCAGACUGGCAAAAUAAGGCUCCAUGUUUUUGUACAGGCUGCUAAUCAUAUUUCAAACCAGAACCACCUGCUGAAGACCUGCAGAAACAAAAGUGGAAGGAUUCUUAAUGUCCUAAUUUGAGAGGAGGUUAUAGCACAAUAUUAUUAAGAUCAAACUACCUCAUGCUUGAAAUCAAGAACAAACCAAUCUUCUUUGACAAAAAGGGGAAACUCUUGCAGCCCAGCAGUGAUGAAUCUUGACUUCUCAGCUGUUAAACAGACCUGAGCAUUGCCCCAGAGUGAAAGAGUCCCAGUAACCACUGCUUUUGCAGCAGCAGCUGUGAGCAUGCCCACUACUUGAUAUGUAAUGCAUUUGUCAUACAGCCUGGGUUGAAAGAAGUCAAACAGAGUAAAAGUCUAUUAUCUGAAGCUUCAAUCAGAAGGGAGGUACCUACUUAACUUCUCUCCUGAUGCUGAUGUGAACACAGCAGGUACUGCUCGUAGGUGGUGACUGAUAAGAGGAUCUGUGGUGGGGCUCCUUACC